rnacentral:tRNA from 1 species
GUGUGUAUAGCUCAGUGGUAGAGCACUUGCCUAGCUGGCAGGAGGUCCUGGGUUCAAUCACUUGUACCACA